CCCAAGAAAGAUGACAAGUAUGUUCCAGCCAGAGUUUUUGCCAUCACUCAAGCAGAAGCUGAGGCCAGUCCUUCGGUUGUAUCAGGUAAGGGUAAGGCUAAGCAGUGAGAAUGAAGAGCUCGAGGCGUGGACCGCAUGUUAGGGGGCUGGCACAGUAUUUUGCUUUUAGUGUUUUUAACUGCUAAACAUUUUGGAACUAUUAUUUUGACUUAACUAGUUCUUAUUUAAGUUUACAGUACUAAAGUAUUUUGUUUUAAACAAUGAGAUCUCAUGCUUGGAUAUUUUUCAAUAAAGCAGCAUUUGAUUGUCUUUA